UAGGCCAAUUGGACUAGUUUUGAACUAAAGUCAACAGGUGCUACCAACUUCUGUGAAGGCUUGGCCCUGUCCAUUGGAGUCGGGAGUCUUCUCCUUCAUUGGGUCUGGCAAGAAGGCAGACUCCUAAGGCUACCAGACUCGAGCAGAACCCUAGGAAAUCCGCCUCCCUCCUCUCCGUGACCCUCCACCACAAGCUUUGUGCCUCCUCUCUUCUUUCUCCCUUUUUCUCCCUGUUUUGCUAGUUUUCUUUCACUGUGGCCAUUGGAAAUCGAGGCUAAGAACGCUACUGAAGUCGAGGUUUGGGUGAUUUGCAUAAUUAAACUUUGAAGGUUCCACAGAGGAAGAGGUUGGAGUUCUGAGCUGGAGCAAUUGGGAAGAGGAGAGAAAGGAGGGCUUGGAAGAGCCGAAAGAGAAGAAGAGAUUUGAGAAAUCUAUUGGAAACUUGAGGAAGAUGUUGGGUUGUGCUUGAGGUGUAGAGGGCUAAGGAGUGGUUGUCUUUGCAAGGGUGUGGACCAAAAUUUGCAGACCAGGCAUGGAGGGAAAACACUACAAUAUUUCCAAUAGUGUGAACUGUGAAGUUAUGGGUCUAAGGUAACAUCAUUCUCUCUUUUCCAAUCAGUUUUUUUUCUUGAGUGGUUUUAGGACAGGAAAUUAAUCCAAUUGGGCACAGGUGGACAUAGACUUGGAAGAGUGAGAGACUUGCCAUAUUUGUAUGUCAAGAAAUUAUUGCAGGAGGUUCUUUGAUCAGACUUCUAAUUUAUGUGUAACUUUGAAGAGGAUGGACACGAGGGCAUGAGGUGGGAAGCAAAUUGGGUGUAGUAAGCUAUUAUCAGCACUGUCAAAAUGAGCGAUCCCAAUUGAAUUGGGUGUACAGACUUUGAAUUUGACACGCCUUGUACAUGGAAACACUGAAGAGUCCCAGAGACUAAGAACAGGAAAGCAAAUGAGACAUUUAUCUUGCCUUAUCCUUUGGAUAAAUGCCAAACAUAUCAUAUUGUGGGUUGGAACCAUGCAUCCUUAACAAUUUGGUCAAACUAGGGAUAAUUGGGGAUCAGCAAUUCCUUAGGGUCUCCAGAAUUCCACUAUCUCCAUCUUUUAUCCCUAAUUGAUUAGUGAAAAUACCAAAGAAGUUCUUUAUUAGCAAAAGGUAACCGA